UACGGGGGGGGCAAGCGUUGUUCGGAAUUACUGGGCGUAAAGGGCUCGUAGGCGGCCAACUAAGUCAGACGUGAAAUCCCUCGGCUUAACCGGGGAACUGCGUCUGAUACUGGAUGGCUUGAGAUUGGGAGAGGGAUGCGGAAUUCCAGGUGUAGCGGUGAAAUGCGCAGAUAUCAGGAAGAACACCCGUGGCGAAGGCGGCUCUCUGGGACGGUACUGACGCUGAGACGCGAAAGCGUGGGGAGCGAACAGG
rnacentral:rRNA from 1 species